UUAACAAAUACCAUCAAAUAUUGCCCUCGUAGAACAGGAAGAGGUCCAUUAAGGAAGCCCACAAAGUAUUACUCCCAAAAACUAUGAAUAAGACUUGGGAGAUAAUCUUGUUUAACUAAUUUCAUAACUACUGAACUGAGCUAGUCAAUUAAGUAAUGAAUGAAAAUGAUGUAAAUCGUGUCAGUGAGCAGAACUGGCCAUUAACAAAACAGCCCAUCAUAAAAUAACCAAAUGUCAUCUAAAUUUAAUGGCCUGAGACAUGGAUACAGUCUCCAAAGGCCUGUCUUAAAUACUCUAUGUCUUGCUGUUUCCUGGGUUAAUUAUUAGAUAAAUAUUAACGAAGCCCAGGGCAAAAUUUAUAAUCUUUAUGGGCAAGUAACGUGUUUGGGGCAGGAUCUCUUUAAUAAAUAUGUAAGUGUGGUUUUGGUCUUAGCUAUAAAGGCUGCCAGGAUCUAUAACGCUUAUUUACUGUUAUUCUCAUACUUAAAAUUUUGUCUACUGGUCAAAAUAAAGUUAACAAAAAUGAACAUAGAGUUAAAAGAUGUAUAGAGAACUGCCAUACAAUUCUAUAUAUACUUUUAUGCCUAUUUUUAUACUUUUACAUAAUCUUCAGGUCAAAAUCAGGUCAACAAAAGUAACGUAGAGGUUGACACGCUUCUAAUAACAGGCAUUCGGACAACUAAUGAUUUCUUUAUUUUAUACAUUCCCUUGCAACAGUACACAAUGGGACAGCUAUAAAUCAGUAUCACAGUCUCUUGUAUAUAUGGACCUUGGUUAGUAUGCGCUCCCUUUCACAUCAAUGUUAGAAGACAGAAAUACUGAACAACAACUAACAUGAACACAACUCACUCUCUCUCUCUUUACGUCAUGUCAAAUUUACGUAUAUAUAACUUGAUUUAACAAUGCCAUGACAAUUGCUACUACUCUCUCUCUCUUUCUUACUUUAUACAAUGCCAAAUUUACAAAUAUAUAACUCAAUUUAACAAGAAAAC